rnacentral:rRNA from 1 species
UACGUAGGGCGCAAGGCGUUGUCCGGAAUCAUUGGGGCGUAAAGAGCUCGUAGGCGGCCUGUUGCGUCCGCUGUGAAAAUCCCGGGGCUUUAACCCCCGGGCGUGCAGUGGAUACGGGCUGGCUGGAGGCAGGCAGGGGAGAACGGAAUUCCCGGUGUAGCGGUGAAAUGCGCAGAUAUCGGGAGGAACACCGGUGGCGAAGGCGGUUCUCUGGGCCUGUACUGACGCUAAGGAGCGAAAGCGUGGGGAGCAAACAGGG